CUGUACAUAUCAAAGAAGAAAAGGUUGGUAUUCCCCUUGAAAAGGACAGAAGAGUUCCUAAUGUCCUUUAUAACACACAUUGUCACCUACUUUGUGGCAUCUAGCCAUGGAA
ensembl:snRNA